rfam:Oryza nivara chromosome 7, whole genome shotgun sequence.
UUUAAGUGCAACCAUAAUUUUCCGCGCUCAAUUUUGAUCGUCUGUUCUAUUUAAUUUUUUUAUAUAAUUAAUGUUUUUAUUGUUAUAAGAUGAUAAAACAAGAAUAAUACCUUACUCGUGACAUAUGUUUUUAUUUUUUAUUAAAUAAGAUGAACGGUUAAAGUUAAGCACGAAAAACUAUACCUACACUUAAA